AGAGUUUGAUCCUGGCUCAGGAUGAACGCUAGCGGGAGGCCUAACACAUGCAAGCCGAGCGGUAUGGAUAGCUUGCUAUCCAGAGAGCGGCGUACGGGUGCGUAACACGUGUGCAACCUACCUUUAUCUGGGGGAUAGCCUUUCGAAAGGAAGAUUAAUACCCCAUAAUAUAUUGAAUGGCAUCAUUUAAUAUUGAAAACUCCGGUGGAUAGAGAUGGGCACGCGCAAGAUUAGAUAGUUGGUGAGGUAACGGCUCACCAAGUCAAUGAUCUUUAGGGGUCCUGAGAGGGAGAUCCCCCACACUGGUACUGAGACACGGACCAGACUCCUACGGGAGGCAGCAGUGAGGAAUAUUGGACAAUGGGUGAAAGCCUGAUCCAGCCAUCCCGCGUGAAGGAUGACGGUCCUAUGGAUUGUAAACUUCUUUUGUACAGGGAUAAACCUACUCUCGUGAGGGUAGCUGAAGGUACUGUACGAAUAAGCACCGGCUAACUCCGUGCCAGCAGCCGCGGUAAUACGGAGGGUGCAAGCGUUAUCCGGAUUUAUUGGGUUUAAAGGGUCCGUAGGCGGACCUGUAAGUCAGUGGUGAAAUCUCAUAGCUUAACUAUGAAACUGCCAUUGAUACUGCAGGUCUUGAGUAAAUUUGAAGUGGCUGGAAUAAGUAGUGUAGCGGUGAAAUGCAUAGAUAUUACUUAGAACACCAAUUGCGAAGGCAGGUCACUAAGAUUUAACUGACGCUGAUGGACGAAAGCGUGGGUAGCGAACAGGAUUAGAUACCCUGGUAGUCCACGCCGUAAACGAUGGAUACUAGCUGUUGGGAGCAAUCUCAGUGGCUAAGCGAAAGUGAUAAGUAUCCCACCUGGGGAGUACGAACGCAAGUUUGAAACUCAAAGGAAUUGACGGGGGCCCGCACAAGCGGUGGAGCAUGUGGUUUAAUUCGAUGAUACGCGAGGAACCUUACCUGGGCUAGAAUGCCCUUGAUCGGUUCAGAGAUGAACUUUCCAGCAAUGGCAAGGAGCAAGGUGCUGCAUGGCUGUCGUCAGCUCGUGCCGUGAGGUGUUGGGUUAAGUCCCGCAACGAGCGCAACCCCUAUCCUUAGUUGCCAGCACGUAAUGGUGGGGACUCUAAGGGAACUGCCCGCGCAAGCGGUGAGGAAGGUGGGGAUGACGUCAAGUCAUCACGGCCCUUACAUCUUGGGCUACACACGUGCUACAAUGGCAGAUACAAAGGGCAGCUACACGGUGACGUGAUGCUAAUCUCUAAAGUCUGUCUCAGUUCGGAUCGAAGUCUGCAACCCGACUUCGUGAAGCUGGAAUCGCUAGUAAUCGCGCAUCAGCCAUGGCGCGGUGAAUACGUUCCCGGGCCUUGUACACACCGCCCGUCAAGCCAUGGAAGUUUGGGGUACCUGAAGUCGGUGACCGUAAAAGGAGCUGCCUAGGGUAAAACAAGUAACUAGGGCUAAGUCGUAACAAGGUAGCCGUACCGGAAGGUGCGGCUG
rnacentral:rRNA from 1 species